rnacentral:lncRNA from 1 species
GAUUUCUUUAAAAUAAUAAAUAAUAAUCACUAUAACUUGUAGAAGUACAGUAUGCUACAUCAUCUGUCACUGUUUAACAACACAUUGAUUAAUUAAUUAAAGCUCAAUUAUUAACACAUUAUAUCUUGUUUAGUGUAAAAAUGAAACACUGUGGUUUUACAGGGCGUUAUGUCCCAGACUAUUUCUUGGGCCGGAGGAGUAACUUCCUGGAGUCUUGUUGUCAGGAUGAGGUUGCCAGGCAACCAGUGGAGACUCCAGGUAGUUACAGUGAUAAUGAGUGACCAUUAAAGGUGCUGAUAUGUGAAUUAUGUUACAUUUGAACAGAGCUAGGCUAGCUGUUCCCCCCUGUUUGCAGUCUUUAUGCUAAGCUAAGCUAACAGGCCGCUGGCUGUAGUUUACAGAUAUAAGAGUGGUUUAAAUCUUCUCUUCUAACUCUGCAAUAAAUUAGAGGAAGAUGAGAAACAUAUUUUCACAAAAUGUUGAACUAAUCCUUUAAGUGAUGAUAAAGUAAAAAGUCAAUUUGGUUGCAGUGAUUAAUUAAUUUACUUUUGACAAAACAUGUCAUAUUUUGAAGUACGAUGUAAUUUCUCAAACAAAUCUUUCAGUUACAGAUCUUACAAACUUUAAAUAGUUAUUAUCAUCCCUUCCCCCCAUCUGUGAAUUCAUUGUACAACAGGAAACAUUCAAACAAACCAAUGAAUAAAAAGUUUGACUGCGGUCAAGAAGAUGUUUCAUAAAGCCCUCCCCAUGCUUCAUUUUGCAGGAAGGAUUUUUUAACAGUUAGCUGUGAACUUGAAUUUAGUUUUCUUUCAGACUCACUGAGGGUCACAACAGUAAAAUGUCUGAGGCUGAUGGAAUAGUGCAGCUCUUUCAUCAGCAGUUUGGUUUUGUGUUUUGUGUCGCAGGGACCGCUUCCUCAGAGGCUGAACCCACAUACUCUGAAGUCAGGAUCUUGAAGACUCAUCCAUCCUGCUGGUCAACAGGUUCCCAACAACACCCAGUGUCAAAUGGAGGGUCAAAGGUCACACCAGAGAGAGUGGUCAUAGUAGUUCUCAGUGCUCUCCUGGCAGCUGCUGUCAUCGCUCUCGGCUUUACCUGUGAGUUUGUUCUUUUUAAAGUGAAAUUUAUCUGGAUUGAUUUAUAAAAUCUCAUCAUUGUUUUAAAGAACAGAAUUUAUGGAUUAAAGGCUUUUUCAGAACUGUUGAUGUAAAUUCAUCAGAAAUUAAUUGAGAAAUG